GCAUUUGAAAUUUUUUUCUAAUGUGUGUAUAUUAUUAUACGUUGGCUCAGGUCAACUAUGAUGAUAAACGAUGUGCGAAAUAAAUGGAGCGGACCCGGGGGCGGUACCCGGCGCCUCCACCAAUUUUAUUAGGGGGGCGAAAUAGGAUCGACGCACACAGUAAAGGCACAAUCUUUCAUUCGGUAUUGUAACCACCGUUAUCGGGCUAUUUUUAUAAAUGCCAAAAAUCAAAAGGCACGUCGCGUAGCAGCUAAUGUUAAUACUGCGGUAGCAGUAGCAAAAGCCGCUUAACGCGAAGCGGUUUGGGGGGCACCGGGCAACAGAAGCCCCCCGCU
rnacentral:tmRNA from 1 species